UCAAAACAGGAAAUAAAAGAAAGUGUCAGAAGUGCUACAGUAUCCAGAUCAUACUUGUGUUGUCCUCUACCGUAGCUUAGUGGUGGGGUUUGGGGUGCUCGUUCCUGACACAGGCUUCAACAUGGCAUACCUGUUAUUCAUGCUAGUGCACCCAGAAUGGCCACAUGCUGGUAUUGCUACAUUUGUUCUUUCACUUGAUUCAAACAUGCAUGGGUAAAGACGUGACUCUACAUGUUUCUGCAACAAAUCCAGCACUCAUUUUGUAUCAGCGUUUUGGCUUCAAGGUGGAGGAGUUUCUCUCUGGAUUCUAUGAUAAGUAUCUACCUGAGGACAGCCCAGAAUGUAAACAUGCCAUGUUUCUACGCCUCAGCAGAUGAUUUUUUAUCGAGUUUCUUAAAGUUCAGGAGAAAUAAAAAUAUAGAAAAAUA